rnacentral:rRNA from 2 species
GCAAGUCGUACGCACUGGCCCAACUGAUUGAUGGUGCUUGCACCUGAUUGACGAUGGAUCACCAGUGAGUGGCGGACGGGUGAGUAACACGUAGGUAACCUGCCCCGGAGCGGGGGAUAACAUUUGGAAACAGAUGCUAAUACCGCAUAACAACAAAAGCCACAUGGCUUUUGUUUGAAAGAUGGCUUUGGCUAUCACUCUGGGAUGGACCUGCGGUGCAUUAGCUAGUUGGUAAGGUAACGGCUUACCAAGGCGAUGAUGCAUAGCCGAGUUGAGAGACUGAUCGGCCACAAUGGAACUGAGACACGGUCCAUACUCCUACGGGAGGCAGCAGUAGGGAAUCUUCCACAAUGGGCGCAAGCCUGAUGGAGCAACACCGCGUGAGUGAAGAAGGGUUUCGGCUCGUAAAGCUCUGUUGUUGGAGAAGAACGUGCGUGAGAGUAACUGUUCACGCAGUGACGGUAUCCAACCAGAAAGUCACGGCUAACUACGUGCCAGCAGCCGCGGUAAUACGUAGGUGGCAAGCGUUAUCCGGAUUUAUUGGGCGUAAAGCGAGCGCAGGCGGUUGCUUAGGUCUGAUGUGAAAGCCUUCGGCUUAACCGAAGAAGUGCAUCGGAAACCGGGCGACUUGAGUGCAGAAGAGGACAGUGGAACUCCAUGUGUAGCGGUGGAAUGCGUAGAUAUAUGGAAGAACACCAGUGGCGAAGGCGGCUGUCUGGUCUGCAACUGACGCUGAGGCUCGAAAGCAUGGGUAGCGAACAGGAUUAGAUACCCUGGUAGUCCAUGCCGUAAACGAUGAGUGCUAGGUGUUGGAGGGUUUCCGCCCUUCAGUGCCGGAGCUAACGCAUUAAGCACUCCGCCUGGGGAGUACGACCGCAAGGUUGAAACUCAAAGGAAUUGACGGGGGCCCGCACAAGCGGUGGAGCAUGUGGUUUAAUUCGAAGCUACGCGAAGAACCUUACCAGGUCUUGACAUCUUGCGCUAACCUUAGAGAUAAGGCGUUCCCUUCGGGGACGCAAUGACAGGUGGUGCAUGGUCGUCGUCAGCUCGUGUCGUGAGAUGUUGGGUUAAGUCCCGCAACGAGCGCAACCCUUGUUACUAGUUGCCAGCAUUAAGUUGGGCACUCUAGUGAGACUGCCGGUGACAAACCGGAGGAAGGUGGGGACGACGUCAGAUCAUCAUGCCCCUUAUGACCUGGGCUACACACGUGCUACAAUGGACGGUACAACGAGUCGCAAGCUCGCGAGAGUAAGCUAAUCUCUUAAAGCCGUUCUCAGUUCGGACUGUAGGCUGCAACUCGCCUACACGAAGUCGGAAUCGCUAGUAAUCGCGGAUCAGCAUGCCGCGGUGAAUACGUUCCCGGGCCUUGUACACACCGCCCGUCACACCAUGGGAGUUUGUAACGCCCAAAGUCGGUGGCC